rnacentral:rRNA from 1 species
GACGAACGCUGGCGGCGUGCCUAACACAUGCAAGUCGAACGGAGUUAAGUGCUUCGGUAUUUAACUUAGUGGCGAACGGGUGAGUAACGCGUGAGAAACCUGCCUUUCAGUGGGGGACAACAGUUGGAAACGACUGCUAAUACCGCAUGAUACUUUUUGGGGGCAUCCCUAAAAAGUCAAAGGAGAAAUCCGCUGAAAGAUGGGCUCACGUCUGAUUAGCUGGUUGGUGGGGUAAAGGCCUACCAAGGCUGUGAUCAGUAGCCGGACUGAGAGGUUGAACGGCCACAUUGGGACUGAGAUACGGCCCAG